rnacentral:tRNA from 1 species
GCUGUGGCUCAGUGGUAGCGCACUUGCCUGGCUUGUGUGAUGCACUGGGUUCGAUUCCCAGCACUGCA